rnacentral:SRP_RNA from 1 species
CCGUGCUAGAUGGGGAGCUAGCGGUACCCUGUGACCUGCAACCCGCUACAGCAGGAUCGAUCGCUUUUUCGAGGGCCCACAGACUAUGAGUCGUAUCGAUGUAAGUGGUGUUGAAGGCUUGACCUCAUGCAAUGAGAGAUUGUGUGAACCUGGUCAGGUGCGGAAGCAAGCAGCCAUAAACAUGUAUCCUUAUGUGCCGUGAGUCAGUCUGGCCCGAGCUUACUGCAUCGAUAAACUCAUGGAAAUGGGAACAAAAAAAAGUGCACGG